CUGUCUUAUAUAUAAGAUUUGAAUUUGACUUUUAAGUGAAAAGGCUUAAAUAUAAUAAAGGGACGAUAAGACCCUAUAAAACUUAAUAUUAAAUAAAUUAUAUUUUAUAAUUAAAGUUUAUUAAGGAAUAAUUUGUUUAUAUUUUACUGGGGCGGUAAGAAUAUAAUUGUUAACUGUUCUUUAUUUAAGUCAAUUAUAAUUGAGUUAUAAUGAUCCUUUGUUUAAGAUUAAGAGAAUAAGUUACUUUAGGGAUAACAGCGUUAUUUUUUUUGAGAGUUCUUAUCGAUAAAAAAGAUUGCGACCUCGAUGUUGAAUUAAAAAUUCCUUGUAAUGUAGUAGUUAGAAAGGAAGGUCUGUUCGACCUUUAAAUUUUUA
rnacentral:rRNA from 1 species